AGUCAUCCCUGACCCCUUGAGGGUCCUAAAGGGCCGUUGGAGACCACAACGUUGAUAGGUGGGGUGUGUAAGCGUAGCGAUACGUUGAGCUAACCCAUACUAAUUACCCGUGAGGCUUAACCAUACAACACCCAAGAAGUGUUCUG
rnacentral:rRNA from 1 species